rnacentral:rRNA from 1 species
GAGUUUGAUUCUGGCUCAGGACGAACGCUGGCGGCGUGCUUAACACAUGCAAGUCGAACGGAAAGGCCCUGCUUUUGUGGGGUGCUCGAGUGGCGAACGGGUGAGUAACACGUGAGUAACCUGCCCUUGACUUUGGGAUAACUUCAGGAAACUGGGGCUAAUACCGGAUAGGAGCUCCUGCUGCAUGGUGGGGGUUGGAAAGUUUCGGCGGUUGGGGAUGGACUCGCGGCUUAUCAGCUUGUUGGUGGGGUAGUGGCUUACCAAGGCUUUGACGGGUAGCCGGCCUGAGAGGGUGACCGGCCACAUUGGGACUGAGAUACGGCCCAGACUCCUACGGGAGGCAGCAGUGGGGAAUAUUGCACAAUGGGCGGAAGCCUGAUGCAGCAACGCCGCGUGCGGGAUGACGGCCUUCGGGUUGUAAACCGCUUUCGCCUGUGACGAAGCGUGAGUGACGGUAAUGGGUAAAGAAGCACCGGCUAACUACGUGCCAGCAGCCGCGGUGAUACGUAGGGUGCGAGCGUUGUCCGGAUUUAUUGGGCGUAAAGGGCUCGUAGGUGGUUGAUCGCGUCGGAAGUGUAAUCUUGGGGCUUAACCCUGAGCGUGCUUUCGAUACGGGUUGACUUGAGGAAGGUAGGGGAGAAUGGAAUUCCUGGUGGAGCGGUGGAAUGCGCAGAUAUCAGGAGGAACACCAGUGGCGAAGGCGGUUCUCUGGGCCUUUCCUGACGCUGAGGAGCGAAAGCGUGGGGAGCGAACAGGCUUAGAUACCCUGGUAGUCCACGCUGUAAACGGUGGGUACUAGGUGUGGGGUCCAUUCCACGGGUUCCGUGCCGUAGCUAACGCUUUAAGUACCCCGCCUGGGGAGUACGGCCGCAAGGCUAAAACUCAAAGGAAUUGACGGGGCCCCGCACAAGCGGCGGAGCAUGC